rnacentral:rRNA from 1 species
GUAGGUGGCAAGCGUUGUCCGGAAUUAUUGGGGCGUAAAGCGCGCGCAGGCGGGUCCUUUAAGUCUGAUGUGAAAGCCCACGGGCUCAACCGUGGAGGGUCAUUGGAAACUGGGGGACUUGAGUACAGAAGAGGAAAGCGGAAUUCCAGGUGUAGCGGUGAAAUGCGUAGAGAUUUGGAGGAACACCAGUGGCGAAGGCGGCUUUCUGGUCUGUAACUGACGCUGAGGCGCGAAAGCGUGGGGAGCAAACAGGAUUAGAUACCCUGGUAGUCCACGCCGUAAACGAUGAGUGCUAAGUGUUAGGGGGUUUCCGCCCCUUAGUGCUGCAGCUAACGCAUUAAGCACUCCGCCUGGGGAGUACGGCCGCAAAGGCUG